rnacentral:tRNA from 1 species
CGGGGUGUGGCUCAGCUUGGUAGAGCGCUUGGUUCGGGACCAAGAGGCCGCUGGUUCAAAUCCAGUCACUCCGA